GGUAAAAUAGAUCCUGGCAUCUUGCUACGAUAGGGUGGCUGCAGUGCCGUUUCCGGAAGGCGGGGAUCACAUCCACCUCUACUCCCUCGAUAUUCGGCGCCACGCCGCUUCUGCAACUCUUGUAUGCCCUUUGCUUCUUAAGACGCUCGCCGCUUGCUUCGCGUAGUUGAGCCACCAGGUUGUGCGCUCCGGUCUUAACGUCACCUCUCCUCGACAGCGUUACGCCAGGCCCGUAGUUGGCUCUCUCUCGGGCCCCGUCUCACUACCAAUUGCGUAGAAUCCUCUCGGAUCCGUUUAAUAAACUCAAAAACAAACGAAACGUUCCACACAGGGAAAUAAAUACAAAUUCUUAAAAUAAAAUCAGUCCAACGCCACGCGAAACGCUCCGCAGCCCAUCCGGCCCCACGACGUAACCGAAUUCGCCUAAUUUUGUGACGUGUAUCAAAAUGCUACGUCACAAUAUAUAUACACACACAGGGUUAAUCAGUAAAAACGCACCUGAAGUUAACCCGUCCAUUUGAUUUGUAUAGUAGAACCAUGUUCAGGUGGUGCGUGUCUACUGAAUAACUCUAUAUAUCAACUAUAGUGGGUUCACGCUUGCCUCAGACUGCUCGUACAUGUUGGUAAAUUCGGUGAACUGGAUCUCUGAUUGGUCAGAUUCUUAAGUCUUUCCAACUACAGUUAAACGACUUCGAAUAUUAAACGGAAUAAUAGAUGAAAUGGUAUGUAAGGAAAAACCUAUCAAAACCAAAUGGGAUGUAUAAUUAAAGUACACUUAGGUCUAUACUCUUAUAGUUUCUUUUAAAGUGGUCUGGCGAUGAUAAUUAUAAUAAGAACAGGGAAUCAUGGGUUAAGUAGAUAGU